UACGUAGGUCCCAAGCGUUGUCCGGAUUUAUUGGGCGUAAAGCGAGCGCAGGUGGUUUAUUAAGUCUGGUGUAAAAGGCAGUGGCUCAACCAUUGUAUGCAUUGGAAACUGGUAGACUUGAGUGCAGGAGAGGAGAGUGGAAUUCCAUGUGUAGCGGUGAAAUGCGUAGAUAUAUGGAGGAACACCGGUGGCGAAAGCGGCUCUCUGGCCUGUAACUGACACUGAGGCUCGAAAGCGUGGGGAGCAAAUAGG
rnacentral:rRNA from 1 species